AGCAGUGAGGAAGGCGGAGUCGUUAAUAGCGGCCUCGUUUGACGUUAGCUGCAGAAGAAGCACCGGCUAACCUCCGUGCCAGCAGCCGCGGUAAUACGGAGGGUGCGAGCGUUAAUCGGAAUUACUGGGCGUAAAGCGCAUGCAGGUGGUUCGUUAAGUCAGAUGUGAAAGCCCGGGGCUCAACCUCGGAAUUGCAUUUUGAAACUGGCAGACUAGAGUACUGUAGAGGGGGUAGAAUUUCAGGUGUAGCGGUGAAAUGCGUAGAGAUCUGAAGGAAUACCGGUGGCGAAGGCGGCCCCCUGGACAGAUACUGACACUCAGAUGCGAAAGCGUGGGGAGCAAACAGGAUUAGAUACCCUGGUAG
rnacentral:rRNA from 1 species